UCCNGGAAAUAUUGGUUCCUACUUCACUGG
rnacentral:piRNA from 1 species